GAUGAACGCUAGCUACAGGCUUAACACAUGCAAGUCGAGGGGUAACGAGAGGAAAGCUUGCUUUCCUUGUCGACGACCGGCGCACGGGUGAGUAACGCGUAUCCAACCUGCCCCCAACUAGGGAAUAACCUCGCGAAAGUAAGACUAAUACCCUAUAAUUUCCUCAGAUGUCAUCUGACGAGGAAUAAAGAUUUAUCGGUUGUGGAUGGGGAUGCGUCUGAUUAGCUUGUUGGCGGGGUAACGGCCCACCAAGGCAACGAUCAGUAGGGGUUCUGAGAGGAAGGUCCCCCACAUUGGAACUGAGACACGGUCCAAACUCCUACGGGAGGCAGCAGUGAGGAAUAUUGGUCAAUGGGCGGAAGCCUGAACCAGCCAAGUAGCGUGCAGGAUGACGGCCCUAUGGGUUGUAAACUGCUUUUAUACAGGAAUAAAGUUAGCCACGUGUGGUUAUUUGUAGGUACUGUAUGAAUAAGGACCGGCUAAUUCCGUGCCAGCAGCCGCCGUAAAAC
rnacentral:rRNA from 1 species